rnacentral:rRNA from 1 species
AUUUCCCCCCNCCCCCCUAAUAAUCNNNNCAACUACUUUAGAGCAAUUCAAAUGAGGUACAGCCCAUUUGACACAGGAUACAACCUUCACUUACGGGUANAAACCUAGCUCAUACCUCAAAGUAGGCCUAAAAGCAGCCACCUUUUAAAAAGCGUCAAAGCUUAACACCCCCGAGCNAUANUAAUUCAAAAACCCCUAUUAACNCCUUCAACCAUACUGAGAACUUCUAUAACCCUAUAGAACCUUUUAUGCUAAAACUAGUAACAAGAGNAAACCCCUCUCUCAUAAUGUAAACAUAAGCCAGCAAGAACCCAUCGCUGGCAAUUAACAANNNCUAAACAAAAGUAGCAACCUCACUAGAAAACCCUACUCCUACCAACUGUUAACCUAACACCAGAACAUUACAAGAAAGAUUAAAAGAAAAAGAAGGAACUCGGCAAAUUCAAGUCCCGCCUGUUUACCAAAAACAUCGCCUCUUGCACNCCCAUAAGAGGUCCAACCUGCCCAGUGACCCUGUUCAACGGCCGCGGUAUCCUAACCGUGCAAAGGUAGCGUAAUCACUUGUUUUCUAAAUAAAGACCUGUAUGAAAGGUUUAACGAGGACUAAACUGUCUCCNNUUUCCA